GUAAGCAGGUGUGAAACCAUGAAAUAUAUUCUUGUAGUGCCCUGAGGUUCUAGGUCCUUUCGGCUCCCCUUAUUACCACCGGUACCACUAUAGCCGUUACCACCAGUGGUGCGGCCGGUAUGUCGAUCGAUACCGCCGGAAUGCUUUAUUGAGCGAUAUAUGUGUGAACGUGACACGCGCGGCUUGCCCGUAAAUCCGUUUCACUUGCGCGUGCCGCGUCAACAGAAACACGCCGCUUUUCUUUCUUUCUUUUUCUGGUGGAAAUGGGGCACAACAUCGAAUAAACGAAGCUUUGCACAACACGUUUACAAACGGACAAACACGAAAUAACAACCACUCUGACUCAUCAUUAACAUGUCUAAUUGACCAACGAUUUGGCGGCUGUCCAUUGUAUUUGUUAGGUUGUUAAUUAUGCUGUUUCUCACUGGUCAACCAAGCGAGACUGUUCUAGUAAUCAUGCAAGCCGUUCGUUUUCUUGCAUUUCGUGACUUGCUCGUCCGGCUCCUUUUGCCGACGAGAAGCAGCCUAUUUCUCGCUUUAUCCCCAGCAGCAAUACUCUACAAAACGAAAUAUUGUCCCUCCAUUUAAACCCCAUUCAACCAGGUUUAAUGUCCUCGACAUUGAGCCACAAUAUGUAAGGAAUAUCGUUUAAAGGCCGCAGGCCAGCUGACAAUGGACAUAAAUCGGAGGGGCCGAGGGGCCAAAGAAACUAAACUAAAACAUUGUUUGCCGUGAGUAUUUUCUAAACAGCAUGUGCCUUAUAUCUUAAAUAAAUAAAUAUAAAAUAAUCUAGACGGACAUAUGUUAGAACUUUGUUUCGUUUUGUCCAUUUUCAAACUCUUCUAGGUGGCGCCCCAACAGCUCAUCGAAAUGCACGCAGCGCGAAUUCGAAUCCACAGCGAGAUUUGAGCGCGGAAAGCUGUUAUGUGCCAGUAUGCUGGGGUAGGCUUGACAACUCAAAAUUUUCUAUUUGUACUUACGAAGCAGCAGUAUUUGACAGAAAAGAAUAAUACUUUGAUGCUCUUCUCACGCCUACAAGCGAGGGCGGCGUGAUUAACAACACAGCGUAAUGCGCAACGGUGAACGCCAACGAACUGCGUGCCGCCACCAACCUGGACGAAGCAUUUUGGACUGAAGCUGUCUUGAUAUCCACAAUACAUUGGACACUACAUGCAGGAUUAUGAAUGGAUACCUGAACACUGCUUGAAGGAGCAAGCUCUACAGCAUCACUUAUGCUCCUUUCCAUGGGUUGGCAAGAGGAACCGUGGCACGCAACUCUACAGGCACCUGUGCUCUUCACUACCUUCGGAGGAGAGAUGCAUUGAAUGCUCCCUAUCAAGCACUGCCAUCUCAACAGUACCAUGGCUUUUUGUGUGGAUUCCUUCCCUUUUGAAGGCCACCACUGUUUGCACAGCAUCACAGCCUGCCUGCCUUGAUCUUGCGGAAGAAGAAAAUACAAAAUGCCUAUUUUUUGAAAUGCAUGCAUGGCUCCAUGCAACACCACCUGUCGUCGGGGUGUUAAGGCUUUUUGCAGAGAAAAUGUAAUGACGCCUUAUGUGUGCCCUGGUGGCAAAGUGUUUGCCUCUUUGCCUGUGUAAAAAUUUCACACUUAUGGAUACUGUUAAGGGUUCCUGUAUCAUAUUUUCUUUCACAUCCUAAGAAAUUUUUGUUUCAUUAUAAAACUAAAAAUUAUAGUUGAAUUGCUGCUUUGUGUGAUAUGCAAUAUUCAGCUGAAGGUGAUCAGCAGAGGUCGAACAAGUGUUAUAUCAGGUGGAGAAAUUUUUUUGAGAAGUGGACUUCUUCGUUAGGGUAACAACCGUUUUCCUUGGCAGUAUUUAUAUAGUUCACUUUUCUCCACUCCAUGGAUAUCCAGCAAAAUGAGUGAGUGCAUAGAGAAGGUGAGGUAAGUUUAAAUGCUCACCAUGGGGGUUUAGUUGGGGUAGCAAGGUGUGUAGAAGU